UACGUAGGGUGCAAGCGUUAAUCGGAAUUACUGGGCGUAAAGCGUGCGCAGGCGGUUUUGUAAGUCUGUCGUGAAAGCCCCGGGCUUAACCUGGGAAUUGCAUUUGUGACUGCACGGCUAGAGUGUGUCAGAGGGGGGUAGAAUUCCACGUGUAGCAGUGAAAUGCGUAGAUAUGUGGAGGAAUACCGAUGGCGAAGGCAGCCCCCUGGGAUAACACUGACGCUCAUGCACGAAAGCGUGGGGAGCAAACAGG
rnacentral:rRNA from 1 species